rnacentral:misc_RNA from 1 species
GUCUGUAACACCCAAAGCCGGUGGAGUAACCUUCGGGAGCUAGCCGUCUAAGGUGGGGACAGAUGAUUGGGGUGAAGUCGUAACAAGGUAGCCGUAGGAGAACCUGCGGCUGGAUCACCUCCUUUCUAAGGAUAUUUAGAAACGGAAACCUACACAUAUGUCGAAACUUUGUUUAGUUUUGAGAGGUCCACUCUCAAAAUUUGUUCUUUGAAAAACUAAAUAAUAUCGAAAAUUUUCUAAUUUUAAUUAUCAGAUAAUUAAACCGAGAACAUUGCGUUUUAUAGAGUUUUAAAACAAGAUUAGUUCAAAAAUAAUCGCUAAACUCAAAACCACUUUAUCUUUGAUAAAGUUAGGUUAAGUUAUAAAGGGCGCAUGGUGAAUGCCUUGGUACUAGGAGCCGAUGAAGGACGGGACUAACACCGAUAUGCUUCGGGGAGCUGUAAGUAAGCUUUGAUCCGGAGAUUUCCGAAUGGGGAAACCCAACAACAUUAAGUGCCGUUGUUACCACCACGUGAAUCCAUAACGUGGUUUGGAGGUAG